AUUGAAUGAGCUUGAAGAAGUCAAUCAUUCAAUAAAAAAAAUAUGAAAUAAAAAAACAUUGCCAUACCAUGUACCUCGUCAGAUGUAUUUGUACCGCUGUCAAAAGCAUAUGACUGAUCGAUUGAUAUAUAGAUUCUUAUUUCAAUUUUUCGAAAUUGUAAUUUUUCCCCUAAAAAUGUGUUUUUGAACUCGAAUGUCAACCACACGUGGACGAUUAAAGUUGACUGAUUAUCUGUUCGAACAAUAUAAAGGAUGAAACAAGAAUACGAACUUCAAGUCUGUUCUGAUUCUUUUUGAUCGUGGUCAUGGUUUAUCUUGUCAGCUAUUAAUCAAAAGGACCAGGAAUUUCCACGCGAGUGGUUCCUUCAUUGAAGAGAGGACACGGGAUAGAUAGAUUCUAUAAAAGAUCAUUCUACCAGAUGGCCCGUGCCCGUAACGAACAGAGAGUCUUCUCAUUUCUUUUUUUCAUUUUUCUCUUUCUCAACUUUUCUUUUUGCUUGUCCAUAGUAUAACCAUGAUGCAACGUUUUUCACGAUUUUCUAUCUCAAGAUGUAUGUACACAUAUUUCUAGUAUUGUUAUGUUCGAAUACUUUUGCAAAAAUAGCGUGAAAUAUAAAUACAAAGCAAAUCGAUCAUAUCAAUAAUGAUGUCAAAAUUUCGCGAUCAUAGAAAUAUAAAAUUUGAUCUAAUGAAAUAAAUACUAAAUAUUUAGAACUUAUAUAUAUUCACCAAUUAAAAUAAAAUUUUUUUAUUGCAUUUACCAUUACAGAUUAAUAACAGAA